rnacentral:rRNA from 1 species
CUACGGGGGGCACCAGUGGGGAAUAUUGGACAAUGGGGGAAACCCUGAUCCAGCAAUGCCGCGUGUGUGAAGAAGGCCUGCGGGUUGUAAAGCACUUUCGGUUGGGAGGACUGCUUCUAGCACUAAUAUUGUUGGAAGUUGACGUUACCUUCAGAAGAAGCACCGGCUAGCUCCGUGCCAGCAGCCGCGGUAAUACGGAGGGUGCAAGCGUUAAUCGGAAUUACUGGGCGUAAAGCGCGCGUAGGCGGCUAGAUCAGUCGGGUGUGAAAGCCCCGGGCUUAACCUGGGAACUGCAUCCGAUACUGUCUAGCUUGAGUACAGGAGAGGAGAGUGGAAUUCCACAUGUAGCGGUGAAAUGCGUAGAUAUGUAGAGGAACACCAAUGGCGAAGGCAGCUCUCUGGCCUGAUACUGACGCUGAGGUGCGAAAGCGUGGGGAGCAAACAGGGUUAGAUACCCUCGUAGUC